GAUGAACGCUGGCGGCGUGCCUAAUACAUGCAAGUCGAGCGAAUGGAUUAAGAGCUUGCUCUUAUGAAGUUAGCGGCGGACGGGUGAGUAACACGUGGGCAACCUGCCUGUAAGACUGGGAUAACUUCGGGAAACCGGAGCUAAUACCGGAUAGUUUCUUUCUUCACAUGAAGAGAGAUGGAAAGACGGUUUACGCUGUCACUUACAGAUGGGCCCGCGGCGCAUUAGCUAGUUGGUGGGGUAACGGCUCACCAAGGCGACGAUGCGUAGCCGACCUGAGAGGGUGAUCGGCCACACUGGGACUGAGACACGGCCCAGACUCCUACGGGAGGCAGCAGUAGGGAAUCUUCCGCAAUGGACGAAAGUCUGACGGAGCAACGCCGCGUGAGUGAAGAAGGUUUUCGGAUCGUAAAACUCUGUUGUCAGGGAAGAACAAGUACCAGAGUAACUGCUGGUACCUUGACGGUACCUGACCAGAAAGCCACGGCUAACUACGUGCCAGCCGCCGCAGUAA
rnacentral:rRNA from 1 species